GAUGAACGCUGGCUACAGGCUUAACACAUGCAAGUCGAGGGGAAACGCCGGGGAAGCUUGCUUCCCCGGGCGUCGACCGGCGCACGGGUGAGUAACGCGUAUCCAACCUGCCUCUGACUGAGGGAUAACCCGUCGAAAGUCGGCCUAAUACCUCAUGGCAUCGUCUGCGGGCAUCCAACGACGAUUAAAGAUUUCAUCGGUCAGAGAUGGGGAUGCGUCUGAUUAGCUUGUUGGCGGGGUAACGGCCCACCAAGGCGACGAUCAGUAGGGGUUCUGAGAGGAAGGGCCCCCACAGUGGAACUGGGACACGGUCCAAACACCUACGGGAGGCAGCAGUGAGGAAUAUUGGUCAAUGGGCGAGAGCCUGAACCAGCCAAGUAGCGUGCAGGAUGACGGCCCUAUGGGUUGUAAACUGCUUUUAGGCGGGGAUAAAGUGAGGGACGUGUCCUUCAUUGCAGGUACCGCAUGAAUAAGGACCGGCUAAUUCCGUG
rnacentral:rRNA from 1 species